CAGCAGUCGCCGCGGUAAUACGGAGGGAGCUAGCGUUGUUCGGAAUUACUGGGCGUAAAGCGCGCGUAGGCGGUUACUCAAGUCAGAGGUGAAAGCCCGGGGCUCAACCCCGGAACUGCCUUUGAAACUAGGUGACUAGAAUCUUGGAGAGGUCAGUGGAAUUCCGAGUGUAGAGGUGAAAUUCGUAGAUAUUCGGAAGAACACCAGUGGCGAAGGCGGCUCACUGGACUGGUAUUGACGCUGAGGUGCGAAAGCGUGGGGAGCAAACAGGAUUAGAUACCCGCGUAGUCCCUGUCUCUUAUAA
rnacentral:rRNA from 1 species